UGGCGGACGGGUGAGUAAUGUCUGGGAAACUGCCUGAUGGAAGGGGAUAACUACUGGAAACGGUAGCUAAUACCGCAUAACGUCGCAAGACCAAAGAGGGGGACCUUAGGGCCUCUUGCCAUCGGAUGUGCCCAGAUGGGAUUAGCUAGUAGGUGGGGUAAAGGCUCACCUAGGCGACGAUCCCUAGCUGGUCUGAGAGGAUGACCAGCCACACUGGAACUGAGACACGGUCCAG
rnacentral:rRNA from 1 species